rnacentral:rRNA from 1 species
GACGAACGCUGGCGGCGUGCUUAACACAUGCAAGUCGAACGGAAAGGCCCUGCGUUUGUGGGGUGCUCGAGUGGCGAACGUGUGAGUAACACGUGGGUAACCUGCCCUUGACUUUGGGAUAACUUCAGGAAACUGGGGCUAUUACCGGAUAGGAGCUCCUGCUGCAUGGUGGGGGUUGGAAAGUGUCGGCGGUUGGGGAUGGUCUCGCGGCUUAUCAGCUUGUUGGUGGGGUAGUGGCUUACCAAGGCUUUGACGGGUAGCCGGCCUGAGAGGGUGACCGGCCACAUUGGGCCUGAGAUACGGCGCAGACUCGUACGGGAGGCAGCAGUGGGGAAUAUUGCACAAUGGGCGGAAGACUGAUGCAGCAACGCGGCGUGCGGGAUGACGGCAUUCGGGUUGUAAACCGAUUUAGCCUGUGACGCAGCGUGAGUGACGGUAAUGGGUAAAGAAGCACCGGCUAACUACGUG